rnacentral:rRNA from 1 species
GGGUACCCUGGGGGCACCUGACGAGCAUGCCGCGUGAGUGAGAAGGCCUUCGGGUUGUAAAGUUCUUUCGUGGAGGACGAAAAGGUGGGUGCUAAUAUCGCCUGCUGUUGACGUGAAUCCAAGAAGAAGCACCGGCUAACUCCGUGCCAGCAGCCGCGGUAAUACGGGGGGUGCAAGCGUUAAUCGGAAUCACUGGGCGUAAAGGGUGCGUAGGCGGUGCAUUAGGUCUGUCGUGAAAUCCCCGGGCUCAACCUGGGAAUGGCGGUGGAAACCGGUGUACUAGAGUAUGGGAGAGGGUGGUGGAAU